GUGGUAUAUAAUUGCUCGAAACUCAUCUGUAAUUGACAGAUUUAAAGAGGGUCUUUCAGCACUUAAUUUCCUGAGUGCACUCCAGCAACACCCUACUUUGCUUUCCCCGGUCCUGUGUCACAUGGAAAAGAAACUCACAGCUCUUGAACUUGAGAGACUUUUCAAACCUGACUUCAGCCCAUCUGGAAGUAACAGGAGACAUCUGGAGAGUCAAACUGUGGGCUACUGGUCAGACUAUCUGCUUGACUGUGAAGAAUCACAAACUGCUGUGUCGGUGGGCGAUGUUCUGAUGUUUGCAACUGGGCUAACAUCACUGCCCCCUUCUGGAUUAGAUCCACUACCAAGCCUACAGUUCCUGGAUGACUCUUUAUUCCCGAUGGUAAAUACAUGCUUAAACUUAUU